GAUGAACGCUGGCGGCGUGCUUAACACAUGCAAGUCGAACGAAGCACUUUUAUUUGAUUUCUUCGGAAUGAAGAUUUUAGUGACUGAGUGGCGGACGGGUGAGUAACGCGUGGGUAACCUGCCUCAUACAGGGGGAUAACAGUUAGAAAUGACUGCUAAUACCGCAUAAGACCACAGCACCGCAUGGUGCAGGGGUAAAAACUCCGGUGGUAUGAGAUGGACCCGCGUCUGAUUAGGUAGUUGGUGGGGUAACGGCCUACCAAGCCGACGAUCAGUAGCCGACCUGGGAGGGCGACCGGCCACAUUGGGACUGAGACACGGCCCAAACUCCUACGGGAGGCAGCAGUGGGGAAUAUUGCACAAUGGGGGAAACCCUGAUGCAGCGACGCCGCGUGAGCGAUGAAGUAUUUCGGUAUGUAAAGCUCUAUCAGCAGGGAAGAAAAUGACGGUACCUGACUAAGAAGCACCGGCUAAAUACGUGCCAGCAGCCGCAGUAA
rnacentral:rRNA from 1 species